AUCCAGAUGACGAGUCCAAAAUAGGACGAAAUGCGCGUUGCCCUGGAU
rnacentral:hammerhead_ribozyme from 1 species